rnacentral:rRNA from 1 species
AUGGUGAGCUGGCCUGACAUUUCCAAACCCAAGGACCGGGGUGGACUUGGGAUCUUGUCUUCUCAGCGCAUGAACAUUGCUCUCCUGACCCGAUGGCUCUGGCAAAUCGCCUAUGGGGAGGAAGGACUCUGGCUUCCAUCAUGCACAAUAAGUACCUUCGGGGCUAACCUCUAG